AGAGUUUGAUCCUGGCUCAGAUUGAACGCUGGCGGCGUGCCUAACACAUGCAAGUCGAGCGGUAACAGGUGUAGCAAUACAUGCUGACGAGCGGCGGACGGGUGAGUAACGCUUGGGGAUCUGCCUGAUAGUGGGGGGACAACCCGGGGAAACUCGGGCUAAUACCGCAUACGCACUACGGUGGAAAGCCGGGGACCGCAAGGCCUGGCGCUAUCAGAUGAGCCCAAGUCGGAUUAGCUAGUUGGUAGGGUAACGGCCUACCAAGGCGACGAUCCGUAACUGGUCUGAGAGGACGACCAGUCACACCGGAACUGAGACACGGUCCGGACUCCUACGGGAGGCAGCAGUGGGGAAUAUUGGACAAUGGGCGAAAGCCUGAUCCAGCGACGCCGCGUGGGUGAAGAAGGCCUGCGGGUUGUAAAGCCCUUUCGGUGGGGAAGAAAAGCCUCGAGCUAAUAUCUCGGGGUCUUGACGUAACCCAUAGAAGAAGCACCGGCUAACUCUGUGCCAGCAGCCGCGGUAAUACAGAGGGUGCGAGCGUUAAUCGGAAUUACUGGGCGUAAAGCGCGCGUAGGCGGCUUUGCAAGUCGGGUGUGAAAUCCCCAGGCUUAACCUGGGAACUGCAUUCGAGACUGCAUUGCUAGAGUAUGGGAGAGGGAAGUGGAAUUUCCGGUGUAGCGGUGAAAUGCGUAGAUAUCGGAAGGAACAUCAGUGGCGAAAGCGACUUCCUGGACCAAUACUGACGCUCAUGUGCGAAAGCGUGGGGAGCAAACAGGAUUAGAUACCCUAGUAGUCC
rnacentral:rRNA from 1 species